rnacentral:piRNA from 1 species
UGCUGUAUCUGGUUUCGUGAUGACUC